CCUCCUUUCUUCCUCCUUUCUGCCUCUUGGUCCAUGGCCGGACGGCUGCACCAGCCAAGCCGCGUGAAGGACGAAGGUGCCAAGCAUUGUAAACUUCUUUUGUCAAGGGACAAAAUCAGGCUCGAGAGCCUGACCGAGGGUACUUGAAGAAAAAGCAUCGGCUAACUCCGUGCCAGCAGCCGCGGUAAUACGGAGGAUGCGAGCGUUAUCCGGAUUUAUUGGGUUUAAAGGGUGCGUAGGCGGGCUGUUAAGUCAGCGGUAAAAGCCCGGGGCUCAACCCCGGCGAGCCGUUGAAACUGGCUGUCUUGAGAUGUCGAGAGGUAUGCGGAAUGCGCAGUGUAGCGGUGAAAUGCUUAGAUAUUGCGCAGAACUCCGAUUGCGAAGGCAGCAUACCGGCGGCGAUCUGACGCUGAGGCACGAAAGCGUGGGUAUCGAACAGGAUUAGAUACCCUAGUAGUC
rnacentral:rRNA from 1 species